GACCGUGCAAAGGUAGCAUAAUCAUUUGCCUUAUAAUUGAAGGCUUGUAUGAAUGGUUUGACAAGAAUAGAUCUGUCUCUUUACAAUUAAAUAAAAUUUUAUUUAUAGGUGAAGAAGCCUAUAUUGAAUUGAAAGACAAGAAGACCCUAUCGAGCUUAAAAGUAGUUAAUAAGUCUCAAAUCAUAUUUAUAUUGAAUUAAUUACUAAAAAUUUUAGUUGGGGCGACUAAGGAACAAAUAAAGCUUCCUUAAAAUUUUAAUGCUUACAAGCAAUGAUCCAGAUAUUUUGAUUAAAGGAAUUAGUUACCGUAGGGAUAACAGCAUUAUCUUUUUUAAGAGCUCAAAUCGAAAAAAAGGCUUGUGACCUCGAUGUUGGACCAGAAUGUCCUAAAGAUGCAGCCGUCUUUAAGGGUUGGUCUGUUCGACCAUUAAAAUUCUACGUGAUCUGAGUUCAGACCGGCGUGAGCCAGGUCAGUUUCUAUCUUCAAUUUUUAAUAUGGACUUAGUACGAAAGGAUUAGUCUAUAAUAAAAGGUUAUUAAAUCUGAUGAAGUAUAAGGUAAAAUUUAAUAGUCUAAUUCGAAUCAAAUUAGCAAAGAUAAUGCAAUUGACUUAGGAUCAAUAGACAUAGGUGAAAAUCCUUUAUUUGAUACUUAUAAAGAUGGCAGAUAAA
rnacentral:rRNA from 1 species